AUCAAAAGGGCCCCCUUCCUAGUAUUAAUGAUAAUCUUUAAUUAUAGAAUGAGGACAUAGCUUUUUGUUUCAUUUAUUUAAAAGGCUGUGUCCUCAUUUUAUAUCAUGAUUUGCCAUUUUCUGUGUGGAGUUUAAAUGUUGAUUUUCUUUAUAAAUAGUGUAGCGACUUUUACAAACUUAACCAAACUCUUUUUUGAUUUUAGAAAAGUCUGCUUUGACUCCAUCUCCCUAAUUUCUUCUCUUUCACCAAUAUUUUUCUCUAAAACCCUUUUAACUUCCUAGGCAGUGGCCAUUCACCACCGAGUAGCAGUCUCACUUCUCCAAGCCACGUGAACUUGUCUCCAAAUACAGUCCCAGAGUUCUCUUACUCCAGCAGUGAAGAUGAAUUUUAUGAUGCUGAUGAAUUCCAUCAAAGUGGCUCAUCCCCAAAGCGCUUAAUAGAUUCUUCUGGAUCUGCCUCAGUCCUGACACACAGCAGCUCGGGAAAUAGUCUAAAACGCCCAGAUACCACAGAAUCACUUAAUUCUUCCUUGUCCAAUGGAACAAGUGAUGCUGACCUUUUUGAUUCACAUGAUGACAGAGAUGAUGAUGCGGAGGCAGGGUCUGUAGAGGAGCACAAGAGCGUUAUCAUGCAUCUCUUGUCACAGGUUAGACUUGGAAUGGAUCUUACUAAGCAUUAGUGACCAGAAGGAUCCCAAGGAUCGAAUGGUUCAGGUUGUGAAAUGGUACCUCUCAGCCUUCCAUGCGGGAAGGAAAGGAUCAGUUGCCAAAAAGCCAUACAAUCCCAUUUUGGGCGAGAUUUUUCAGUGUCAUUGGACAUUACCAAAUGAUACUGAAGAGAACACAGAACUAGUUUCAGAAGGACCAGUUCCCUGGGUUUCCAAAAACAGUGUAACAUUUGUGGCUGAGCAGGUUUCCCAUCAUCCACCCAUUUCAGCCUUUUAUGCUGAGUGUUUUAACAAGAAGAUACAAUUCAAUGCUCAUAUCUGGACCAAAUCAAAAUUCCUUGGGAUGUCAAUUGGGGUGCACAACAUAGGGCAGGGUAAGUGUGUUGGCAUUGGGUGGACUACAAUGUUAUAGGAGAAUUUUAUGAAAAUGGCUAGACUAGAUGUCAUUGUUAGCAACUAAGCAUUGGUAUUGGGGGUGAGAGCAAAGGGUGGGGAACUAGAUAGGUUAUCCCUAAAUUGAAUGGAGUAUCCUGGAGUAACCAUCAGCUUGACAAGAAAGCCUUGUGGCCACUUGGCACUACUCAUCAGAGAUUCUGUCCCUUCUCUCCACAGGCUGUGUCUCAUGUCUAGACUAUGAUGAACAUUAUAUUCUCACAUUCCCCAAUGGCUAUGGAAGGCAAGUGUGUCCAUUUCCUCUGAUCAGCAGUAGACUCUGCUGUUCCUUGAGACAUGCCCCUUCCCCCUCUUCCUCUUAACUGUCAACCUUACCCAAAAACUUUUGAUUUUGCAGGUCUAUCCUCACAGUGCCCUGGGUGGAAUUAGGAGGAGAAUGCAAUAUUAAUUGUUCCAAAACAGGCUAUAGUGCAAAUAUCAUCUUCCACACUAAACCCUUUUAUGGGGGCAAGAAGCACAGAAUUACUGCCGAGAUUUUGUAGGUAUUUUUUCUGCCUUAGAGCUCUUAUGCUUUUCUGAAAUAACUGCCUUUUGUCUUGAACUACAGCUUCUGGAUUAGGAGUGUGAAAGAAUGGUUCUGUCUUUGUAAGCGUGUUUCACAUUUUAUGUGUCAUGUCUUUUGCUGAAGUCCCAUAUCAGAAGAAGACCUAAAACAUAUAUUCAGAGCAGUCAGAGGUCAUUGAUAGGUUUCCUUCCUAAAAACCUGACUUGCAAUGUUGAACUAAAAGAGGCCUUCCUAGGUUGCCUAGCUAAACCAGAUUACGGAUCCCUAAUUUAUUCUUGCCAGAUUGAAUGAUGAGCUGGUCCUUACAGCAGACUUUGUGACCCCUGCAGCACUGCCUCCUGGUCCUCACAGCUAUCCCUUUUUCUGUGCCUUUGCUGGGGAAAAACAGUAACCAUCACAUUUUGCACGCAUCUGGCUUGCUUCCACUUGACACUCUUGGGUCACAUGCAGAUGACUGUGCCAGUCAGUGGAAAGUCUACAGUGAUGGCACCAUGACUUUCUCUGCCUCUGGAACCCUUAACUGGGGGGAAGGGGACAGUGGGAAAGAAAGUUUCAGGCGUUGAUAGCAGCUCUCCUCCCUCUGCCCUGGUCAUUUCUCCCUUUUCUGGCCUCUUUCAAUCCUGUUUAUGCCUUGCCCUUCCUAACCAGGCCUUUGCUGUGUUGCUUAUCUUCUCACAUUCCAUAGUUAUGUGUCCAAGUAGAGGUCUGUUACGGCUUUUGCAGAAUGGAUCCUUGCUCAGGGAAAGUAUUCACACCAUCUGGCACAGAGGUCCCUUUCAACCUGAGGAUGAAAGCCUGCAUUAUAUUCUUAAGCAAAGCCUUCCCUGACCCCCAGUGCCCAUGUAAGCUCACCACAGCACUUACCACCUAGAAUCUCAAUGGUGGUUAUGUCUCUCUCCACUAGGCUGUGAACAGCUUGAGGAUAGGGAAUUUGCCAACUCUGUUAUGGUCCUUGCACCCAGAAUAGGACGUUCUUGCCCAAACCCACCAUUCUUGGGAUCUCAAGUUCGUAAGUGUCCUGUUGAAGGCCCUCGUUCUUAUAGUUAGCCCUGGGGAGUCCAGUUCUGUUAAGAUGCUUUCAUCAAAAACUUCACAGUUGCUCUUCUGUGCUCUGCUCUGUAGUUGGGCCACACUGAACAGAUUGUUUGGUAGAAUUUUCAACUUGAGACUAACACAAGUAUUUCCUUUUCUGUUCAGUUCUCCAAAUGACAAGAAGUCUUUUUGCUCAAUUGAAGGGGAAUGGAAUGGUGUGAUGUAUGCAAAAUAUGCAACAGGGGUAAGAUCCUCUAUUUUGCCACUUGUUUUAGGCUACAUUAGAUUGUACUCUAUCCCUUUUUCUGGCUUCCUUCAUUAGUACUUCCUUCAUAAUGCACUUCCUUCUACAGUAUAUUAGAGCUGGAACUUUAGGACAGCUCCAAUGUAUGUCAUCUCUUCAGGGCAAGCUUUUUCUUUCCUUCCCCCUUCUCCCAGCAAUAUAGGUAAUUAUAGUCAUUUUUACUUUUCUCUCUGCUCUCAAAACACUUGAGAAUAAUAUAUGUAAAACAAUGCCUGGCACAUAGUAAGAACCCAGUAAAUGUUAGGUAUGUGGGGUAUGUUUAUAAAAUGAAGCACUAAACUGUGUGUUUCCAUACACACACAGUUGAAGAUUUUGUAUAAUAAAAUUUACUGACUGCCUGGCACCAGAGAUACCAAAAUGAGUUAAGAUAGACCUUUCCUUCAAGGAACUUGCACUCUGUACUACUGCCCACUCAGUGUUCUUAAACAGAGGAAAGACGUUAUGAAAUUAACAGGAGGAGCCAGUGAACUGCAUUUUGGACCUAGAGAAUUUGAAGCGUCAAAAGCACUACAAUGCAUCUAACAUUAGGUUAGGGGUUUAUGGGUCUAGUUCCCAUCCACCUCUAUUGUUUUCUAGGAAAAUACAGUCUUUGUAGAUACCAAGAAGUUGCCUAUAAUCAAGAAGAAAGUGAGGAAGUUGGAAGAUCAGAACGAGUAUGAAUCCCGCAGCCUUUGGAAGGAUGUCACUUUCAACUUAAAAAUCAGAGACAUUGAUGCAGCAACUGAAGCAAAGCACAGGCUUGAAGAAAGACAAAGAGCAGAAGCCCGAGAAAGGAAGGAGAAGGAAAUUCAGUGGGAGACAAGGUUAUUUCAUGAAGAUGGAGAAUGCUGGGUUUAUGAUGAACCAUUACUGAAACGUCUUGGUGCUGCCAAGCAUUAGGUUGGAAGAUGCAAAGUUUAUACCUGAUGAUCAGGGCAGUAGGCAUAAUUCAGCAACAAACAAUCUUCCUUUGGGAGAAACCUGUUCAUUCCCUUCUAAUUACAGUGGUUCCUAUCUCAGGGAUACUGGACUUUCUGACGCAGAUCAACAAUUAAGGGGAAAAGCUUCCCUUUUCCCUCUGUGGCAGUUACGAUUUUGACUUCAGUCCUGAGAAAAACUUCAGGUUUUGAAAAUCAGAUGAUGUCUUCUCCUUUUCCAAACACCACACGUUGAAAGCAUUUAUAAAUCCAAGUCUGAAACUCUGUGCUCUAGUACUGCUAUUAAGAUACACAACUUGUUUCUUAGUUCAUAUAAUCUCGGGAUACAUACACACACACACACACACACAUAUACGCGCACACACACAUAUAUAUACACACACAUACAUAUAUAUAAAUAUACCUGAUGCCAGAUUUUUUUCAUAAAUAUUCUGCCUACUGUAAAUAUGGGUUCCUCUGAGUUGUUUUAGAAAAUUAGCGCAAUGUAUUAAAAUCAAGUGUUAGGAAAUUUCAUGGUCUUACCUACAAUAACUUUUAUUUUGGAAUUGAACUAUUAUUAAAUUGUAUCUAAUCCUGGAUUACAGUUUAAUUAAUUAUCCUUAGUGCUUAAGGCUUCAUAAAGUAAUUUUUCCAACCUUUUUUUA
rnacentral:sRNA from 1 species